AAGUUUCAUGAGGACAAAACAUCCAGGAGUCUGUUCUCCACGGUGUGGUGUGUCCCUAUCUCAAGAGCAAAUGCAGGCCGACCCACCAGGAGCUUUAGGAUUUCUAGGGUAAGGACCUGUGAGCAUGAAUUGGCUGGUUGUGCCCUCAGUGAAGGUUUCACCAUGGCUUAUAUACAGUGACACAUUUUAACUGGACCAGAGCGGCUGUUUCAUUCCAAAACUUUGUUACCAUGGAUGUCUAGUUAAGUAACACUGUAACCAUUUAGUAAGCCCUGCCUCAGCAAAAUGGGCCAGAAAAGAGGUUUGGGGUGUGUGACUUUAGCAAUUGUCUUAAAGUAGCAGAGAACUUAGCUGUCAGUCUCGUGUCCUAGCUGCAGCUGUAGCUCCUUGUUGAACCUGUUUUUCACCUCCUUAUUGCAAUUUAAGAAGACCGAACUCGACUGUGUACAACCAAAUUGUGCAUUUUAUUAAUAUUUGAAAAUCAUGGUAAGACGAUGAAUAUUUCUGAGUUAUAAUCAAUAAGACUAAUUUAAUUUAGGGGUAGCUGAGGAGAAAGACAAAAAUGAAGUGCUGUGGUUUGAAUUAUGGAAAGUGUCACAUUUAAUUUCACAAUUGGUUCUGGUGUGUUUGGGGAUUUAGAAUAAUUUUAUACCUUAACAUUCAAUCUUUAUUUUACAGUGAAUAAGCUAAUUUUAGAUGACUGCCCAACCUGCCUCUUCUGGCUGUUUUAGAAUUAGCUUCAGAAUAAUCUACUAAUUCUUACUUAACACCAAUUAAUAAGGAAUUAGAAUUAUAAUUUUAAAGUGAAUAAAUUAUUUCAUAUUAUAACAUGUUAUGAAGUGUAUGUAAAUCAUCAUUAGUGAUAGGGACAAUAGGAAAAGCAUGCAGUCUGGGAAUGGGUUUAGUUCUUUUUUUUUUUUUUUUUUGAUUCUGCUUUGCAUGUAUGUUGGGAGAAAGUGAUUAAUUGUGUUAUAAUGACAAUCUAACUUUUCAGAGGUUGCUAAGUACAGACUUGCUUAUGAGAGACUUUAACUUCAUCUGUUAAGUGUAUGUCAACCAGCCACUUAAGCUAGUUUCACACAAUGGAGCGCAACAAUGUGCUUCAGUGUUGUAAUGAUGAGAAAGCAUCCAUGUUCAGUAGGAUCUUUAUUUUGUUAUGAUUAAAAAUAUUAUUUUAUGUGUAUGGCUGUUUUGUCUGCAUGGCUGUCUGUGCAUCACAUUUCUGCAGUACCUUUGGAGGCCGGAAGAGGGCGUUGGAUCUCCUGGAACUGGAGUUAUACUUGUGAGCUGCCAUGUGGGUGCUGGGAAUCGAACACGGGUUCUCUGAGAGAGUAGUCAGUGCUCUUAAUCAUUAAGCCAUCUCUCCAGCCCCUGAAUAUAAUUUUGAAAUAUUAGUUGGUGCAUCAGAAACUUAGGAACUUAGGAGGCUUUUGUUUUGGUGAAUUUUUCUUCUCUUAACCAAUAAAUAAAUCAGCCACAUUUGUUUGUUCUCUUUUUGAGUUGUGUAAAAAGUAGUGUUUUAUAUAAGCCAGACUUUAAAAAAACCAAACAAACCAAAAAACAAAACAAAACCC
rnacentral:lncRNA from 1 species